rnacentral:rRNA from 1 species
CUACACAUGCAGUCGAGCGGUUGASGGGAGCUUGCUCCCUGAUUCAGCGGCGGACGGGUGAGUAAUGCCUAGGAAUCUGCCUAUUAGUGGGGGACAACGUUUCGAAAGGAACSCUAAUACCSCAUACGUCCUACGGGAGAAAGCAGGGGACCUUCGGGCCUUGCGCUAAUAGAUGAGCCUAGGUCGGAUUAGCUAGUUGGUGGGGUAACGGCUCACCAAGGCGACGAUCCGUAACUGGUCUGAGAGGAUGAUCAGUCACACUGGAACUGAGACACGGUCCAGACUCCUACGGGAGGCAGCAGUGGGGAAUAUUGGACAAUGGGCGAAAGCCUGAUCCAGCCAUGCCGCGUGUGUGAAGAAGGUCUUCGGAUUGUAAAGCACUUUAAGUUGGGAGGAAGGGCAGUAAGCGAAUACCUUGCUGUUUUGACGUUACCGAYAGAAUAAGSACCGGCUAACUCUGUGCCAGCAGCCGCGGUAAUACAGAGGGUGCAAGCGUUAAUCGGAAUUACUGGGCGUAAAGCGCGCGUAGGUGGUUGUUCMAGUUGGAUGUGAAAGCCCCGGGCUCAACCUGGGAACUGCAUCCAAAACUGGCCAGCUAGAGUACGGUAGAGGGUGGUGGAAUUUCCUGUGUAGCGGUGAAAUGCGUAGAUAUAGGAAGGAACACCA